rnacentral:lncRNA from 1 species
AAUGGUCCAAAUGUGGUAACACAGAGCUCCAGGCAGGCUAAUGCAUCCUAUAUGUUGUGUGUGCACUUGAGGUCAAAAUACAGCUGAAAACAAGCACUGAAUUUUCAAGAGACUGCUCUGUAUGUCUCUUCAGAUCAGCAACCACCAUGCAGAGGAUAAUUUUAUGUGACCUCUGUUGGCAGAACAGACAGACUGGCUACUACCCGAUCAUCUGCAAUUUGGAUAGACCAUCUUAAUUGACACCAAUAUCACCUCCGAUCUGGGAGGGACUGGCACCUUGCCAGUUUGGCAUGUAGAUGGAAUAAGACAUUUUGGUUAAUGCUAAUAAUGCUCUGUUUUGUUUAUGGCUGGUAGCUAACUGCUGUCUUCCCGUGCACUAGAUAAAGCUCAUAAGGUUGUUGAUUUAUUUGUAAUGGCUUAAUUAAUCUGGUAAUUAGAUUAAUUGUUUUUGUUUAUAUCAAAGUAAAUUAAAA